rnacentral:tRNA from 1 species
GGCCAGUUAGCUCAGUGGUUUGAGCGCAGUGCUGACAAAAAUGACAAGACCAAGGUCGCGGGUUCGAUUCCUGCCCUGCUCG